UCUAAAAUUUUAUGAUUUCAUCUUUUAUGUCUAUCAUAUAUAUAUAUAUAUAUACAUAUAUAUAUAUAUAUAUAAUUUUAUAUAAAUAUAUAACAUACAGAGUCAAGUUAGUAUGGCCUUUAUUUGCAUGCAUUUAGGCAGGACCCUGUAGGAUAAGGGUCUUGAUCCCCUCCCAAAAUGAGAUAGAGGGGAGAUUAAAAUCUAGUUCUGCAUCUUCAGCUGUUGAUUUUCUGUAGCACUUCAUAUAUGGAUAGAGUGGUGGUUUGAAAGAAAACAGCACACAAAGGGAGUGGCACUAUUUGGAAGUGUGGCUUUGAUGGAGUAGGUAUGGUCUUGUUGGAGAAAGUGUGUCACUGAGGGGGUGGGUUUUGUUGUCUCUUUUGUUCAAGCUUCUCUUGAUGUGACACAGAGACUACUUCCUGUUGCUUCAGAUGAAGAAGUAGCCAGCACUGUGUGUGCUAGCACACUUCCAUAUUUCCUGCCAUGAUCAUAAUGAACUGAAUCUCUGAAACUUUUUAACGUUCCCAGUAGAUGUCACCUUUAAUGGCAUCUCUGAAAACCCUUAGUACUUGUCUCUACCAUUCUUGACUGUGAGAAGCUUGAUUGACAGACAAUGUCAAAGGGAUAGACAAUGUCAUAGACUGUGAUGAGAACCUGUCUGCACAGCUAUCCUGAAACCACAUACUGAGCAGCAAAUUGAACACCCCUCUAUUUCUAUUGGUGAUAGAAGUCCAGUCUCCCUAUUAUGGUCUCUAUUGGUCUGCUUUGGGGUUUCAUGACACUGGAGAAGAUAAAAGUCUGCGACCAUUGUCACUUGACAUGACACCAUCACAUCAUGAAGACCUAGUAAACUCAAUGGACUGUCCCUCCAAUCGCUAAGUUUUCUCAUCUGGAACAUAUAUCUGGGAGAGGAACAAACAAGAGGAGAAUCUGAUUGUGAUCAGCUUCAGAAUCCCUUUGGAGAAAAGCUGUUCCUGUCUGUCAAUGGACUCUUCUCGUGGGAAACACUAGAGGAGAACAAAAGCAGCCAGCCAGAGCACCACAUACAAAUGAAUGUCAUCAAGGUCACAGUCCCACAAGCUUCAGAAUUGGCAAUUCAUUUUAGCCUCAGUUAAAAGAGCAAUAUUCAGAAGAGGACAUACACUGUCAGCUGCAGCUUAAACAAAAGAACAACAUUUGGUGCCCUGGACGUGGGAAGGCUCUGCCCUUGGUACCCCCCUCCACAUCCCGCUGGCGGGUACGUGUUGGGUCAAGGACAUCCUUAUCACGCGAAUAAACAAUCCACAUUCCAGAUCACCGGUUUGCUGGAUUCUGCAUACAACACCGGACCCAAUUCGGUAAGGCUACCCCUUUCAGUCAGCGUAAACGUCUCCCUGAACCCGAGGGACUGACCGUUGAUCGUCCUUCUGUUUCAACCGUCCCCGCUCCGGCUUCCUCUGACUCAGCUACUUCUAAACAACCACUCUUGGCUCCUACCUUCACCCCACCUAUUACCCGUUCUAGGACCGGAUCCAGGGCUACUAAAGCUGAUCCGGCCACCAUCCUCCCCUUGCGUGAGGUAGCUGGUGUGGACGGCGUGGUUAGAGUUCACGUUCCCUUCCCACUAUCAGAGCUCUCUCAGAUUCAGCACAGAUUAGGAUCUUAUACUUCUAACCCCACUGCCUUUAUAAAGGAAUUUCAGUAUAUUGCACAGUCUUAUAGCCUUACUUUUCAUGAUGUCUUCAUGAUUUUAAGUAAUAACUUACUACAUGAGGAGCGCGAGCGAGUUUGGAAUUAUGCGAGGGCAUGUGCAGAUGAGAUACAUCAGACUCAGCCAACUCACCCUACUGGGAAUGAUGCUGUUCCGGAGAAGGAACCCCACUGGGAUUAUAACACCCCGAGUGGUAUCCUGGCUAGAGACCAAUUCGUAACCUGUUUAAUGUCUGGUGUCCGUAAGGCUGCCCUAAAGCCCAUAAAUUAUGAUAAACUCCUAGAUAUAGUUCAGGACAAAUCAGAGAAUCCUUCCCAAUUCCUACAGCGUCUUAAACAGGCCUUUUUACAGUAUACUAACUUAGACCCUGAGACGGUGGACAUUAAAGUAUCAGGGCGGUCUAUCUCUUUCCUUUUGGACACCGGUGCCACAUACUCAGUCUUAAAGGAGUUUUGGGGACCUACCUCUCCUUCUCGUCUUCCUAUUGUCGGGGUAGGAGGACAGCCUUACUUACCUCAGUAGACUCCACCGCUUAGCUGUAUUUUUAGGGGGAUUCCCCUUACUCAUUCGUUUUUGGUUAUACCGACUUGUCCGGUACCUUUACUAGGGAGGGACCUUUGUCAUUCAGUUACAGGAUCCCUCUAAGUACGUUACUCAAGUUCAGUACCCACUCCCACUCCAAAGCCUUAAGGGUCUUAAACCUAUUAUCUCUGACCUCCUAAGGAAAAAGCUACUUCGUCCUA